ACUACAAGCUGUAUCAUUUGUGUCCACAGAUGUUCAGUUGUUACAUUUUUCUUGGCAGGCUGUGCUGUUAGCUGACAUCCUACCAACACUCUUCAUCAAACUGUUCGCUCCCUUUGUGAUCCACAAAAUGCCUUAUGGCAUUCGAGUGUUGUUCUGUGCCAUCAUGGCAGCAACGAGUUUCCUCCUGGUGUCCUUCUCCUCAGCUGUGUGGAUGAGUAUUCUCGGAGUGAUCUUUGCCAGUAUCAGCUCAGGACUGGGAGAGUUGUCCUUCCUCUCUCUAACAGUAUAUUUCAGCAGG